GCCCGCUUGGCUCAGUGGUAGAGCGUAUCACUAGUAAAAAAGAUGUGGAUUCUCUCAAAGAUUCCCAGACUUUAAACCGGGUUCAAUGAUAAGGUCAUCAGUUCGAUUCUGAUAGUGGGCA